GAUGAACGCUAGCUACAGGCUUAACACAUGCAAGUCGAGGGGUAACAAGAGGAAAGCUUGCUUUUCUUGUUGACGACCGGCGCACGGGUGAGUAACGCGUAUCCAACCUGCCUAUAACUAGGGAAUAACCUUGCGAAAGUAAUACUAAUACCCUAUGAUUUCCUUUGAUGACAUCAGAUUAGGAAUAAAGAUUUAUCGGUUAUUGAUGGGGAUGCGUCUGAUUAGCUUGUUGGCGGGGUAACGGCCCACCAAGGCAACGACCAGUAGGGGUUCUGAGAGGAAGGUCCCCAACAUUGGAACUGAGACACGGUCCAAACUCCUACGGGAGGCAGCGGUGAGGAAUAUUGGUCAAUGGGCGGAAGCCUGAACCAGCCAAGUAGCAUGCAGGAUGACGGCCCUAUGGGUUGUAAACUGCUUUUAUACAGGAAUAAAGUUAGCCACGUGUGGUUAUUUGUAGGUACUGUAUGAAUAAGGACCGGCUAAUUCCGUGCCAGCCGCCGCCGUAA
rnacentral:rRNA from 1 species